rnacentral:piRNA from 1 species
UCUAGAUACCGGCAUAAAGACGC